rnacentral:rRNA from 1 species
AUUGAACGCUGGCGGAAUGCUUUACACAUGCAAGUCGAACGGCAGCACGGGGGCAACCCUGGUGGCGAGUGGCGAACGGGUGAGUAAUACAUCGGAACGUGCCCAGUCGUGGGGGAUAACGUAGCGAAAGCUACGCUAAUACCGCAUACGAUCUACGGAUGAAAGCGGGGGAUCGCAAGACCUCGCGCGAUUGGAGCGGCCGAUGGCAGAUUAGGUAGUUGGUGGGGUAAAGGCUCACCAAGCCUUCGAUCUGUAGCUGGUCUGAGAGGAUGAUCCGCCACACUGGGACUGAGACACGGCCCAGACUCCUACGGGAGGCAGCAGUGGGGAAUUUUGGACAAUGGGCGCAAGCCUGAUCCAGCCAUGCCGCGUGCGGGACGAAGGCCUCGG